CUGACUUGCAAAAAUACGUAAAUAUUUACGCGAAUCAAAGUGUUAUUCGCCAGAUUAAUGAUGUCUCUUUCGUCAAUUGCUAACAGUCAUGAUGGAAAUAAAAGUGGAAGUUCUAGGAAAAGAAUGAAUCGAAAUGAAUCGAAUUUUAAAAUGUCGAAAAGCUUUUUCACAUGAAGGAAUAAACCCAUCGAUUUAUGAUGUCUCUUUCGUCAAUUGCUAACAGUGAUGAUGGAAAUAAAAGUGGAAGUUCUAGGGAAAGGAUGAAUCGAAAUGAAUCGAAUUUUAAAAUAUCGAUAAGCUUUUUCACAUUAAGGAAUAAACCCAUCGGUUUUUCCAUUCGAGAGUUAUCGUGUUUGCGACCGGAUGGAUAUAAUUGAUUUUCAACACGGGGAAUGGGUGCUCAAAAAGAAGCUAAGAUAAACAGGAUAAACAUAUGGUCUCAGUGGUAACUCGAAAUAAUUUUGGUCCUGGAUCUGCCAAUGAUUUGGUUGAACACUGCUCUGCUCUACAAAGCUAUAAAA